rnacentral:ncRNA from 1 species
AACGUUAAUCGGAGCAGGGUGAGUCGACCCCUAAGGCGAGGCUGAAAAGCGUAGUCGAUGGGAAGCAGGUUAAUAUUCCUGCACUUGGUGUUACUGCGAAGGGGGGACGGAGAAGGCUAGGUUAUCCGGGCGACGGUUGUCCCGGUUUAAGCAUGUAGGCGGAGAGUUUAGGUAAAUCCGGACUCUUUUAACGCUGAGGUGUGAUGACGAGCCACUACGGUGG